AUUGAACGCUGGCGGCGUGCCUAAUACAUGCAAGUCGAGCGGACCAAAGAGAGCUUGCUCUCUGAGGUUAGCGGCGGACGGGUGAGUAACACGUGGGUAACCUGCCUGUAAGACGGGGAUAACUUCGGGAAACCGAAGCUAAUACCGGAUGAUAAAGAGAAACGCCUGUUUCUUUUUUGAAAGUCGGCCUUGUGCUGACGCUUACAGAUGGGCCCGCGGCGCAUUAGCUAGUUGGUGAGGUAACGGCUCACCAAGGCGACGAUGCGUAGCCGACCGGAGAGGGUGAUCGGCCACACUGGGACUGAGACACGGCCCAGACUCCUACGGGAGGCAGCAGUAGGGAAUCUUCGGCAAUGGACGAAAGUCUGACCGAGCAACGCCGCGUGAGCGAUGAAGGCCUUCGGGUCAUAAAGCUCUGUUGUCAGAGAAGAACAAGUACCGGAGUAACUGCCGGUACCUUGACGGUACCUGACCAGAAAGCCACGGCUAACUACGUGCCAGCAGCCGCCGUAAAAC
rnacentral:rRNA from 1 species